rnacentral:piRNA from 1 species
GGCGUGUAAAGCAGGUGGUCACCCGUC